GAAAAGAAAAAAGAAAAGCGGAUUAUAACAUGGAUUCGUGCAAUUUCAUUUCCUAGCGGAGGAAUGCAUUCGUCUCGAUUUAAUCGCCGUAUAUCCGUGCAAGUCGCGACGCGUCCUUGAUUAUCGUCGUUGAACGCGCCGAGAGAGAUCUUUUUCAAGGCCAUUUCACCCCCAACGUUUCUGCGUCGCCUUUCCUUUUAUCGCUCGGACGGAUUUCCAAUUGUCUCCGACCAUUAACUUGUCGCGUCCUCUUUUCUUUUCUUUUCUUUUUUGCUUGCAUCACGCAUAAUGUUUCACAAGUAACAUUAUCGAGAAGACGCUUGUUUAAAGUUCACGCAUUAUUUACUCCUCCGUUGGAAAUAACGGGGAAUAAAUUUUCUGGAAACGAGGAAUUCGUAUUCGCGUCCACACCCUUUCAAAUCUGUCCUCGCCUUCCUGAACGGAUAUCCUGAAGAACCUGUCCUCAACGUAUCUCUCUCCUGGACGCGAGUUUUCGAAAAUCGACGACGAGAGGAUCCGUUCGAAACUCUCCGCGUGAUAAUCCUUUCCGUUUCCAUUUAACGGCCGAUUAGUAGACAUAUCAAAUUCGGAAUUUAUAGAUGUGCCGUGGAUAGACAAUUUCGAUUCGGUUCGGGGAUUAAAAUAACAGUUUGCGAGAACCCGCUCGAUAAUUAAACUUGGCCGAUAGUUAGCGCGCCAUUGUUCCACCAACAGUUUUCCAUACAAACGGCGCGGUGAUUAUUCAUAAGUUCCAGUAACCAACACGUGUGUUCAACACGCGUAUCCCGAAAUCCUUUCCCGAUACGUGCGUUGAAACGAAAAGAGAAAAAUGUUCAACUCUUCUCGCGGGAAUCGAAACGAAAGUCGAUGGAGGACAGGAGGAGGAGGAGGAGGGGAAAAAGUUUCGAAACGACGCACGUUUCCAUUUGGACAUUUUAAUAUCGAUAAUUGGCACUCGAUGGUGGAAACGUCGUUAACACGAGCCAUCGGUAGUUCGAACACGACUUCGCAUUAAUUGGCACGGCGCAUUGAAAUUGCAACUGCACUGCGGUUUGCCUCGAGGACGCUCCUCCUGCGCGGGGGAGGGGCGUUGUCGCAGGAUGCGACUACCCUUGAUGCACCCCGGCUCACGUGGUAUAAUGAACCCGGCUCGGGCGGGGUGUAACGAGCGGAAACGAGGGGAAAUUAUUAAUUCGAUUCCGCCCAACUUUCUUCUGAAGUAAGUUUCUUUUGACAGAUGUACACGUAUCCAUGCUUAAUUUAAUACGAGACCUCCGUAUUUCCCCGAGAUUCGAAACAGAAGAGAUCAUUACAUCGUAUUUCUCCCGACGAUCAUUUUUUUUUUUAUUUUAAUUGAUUUGAAAAAUUAUCGAGCAAAAACUUUUUCUCAGACGAAUAGAUCGAUGGAAUUAAUACAAAUCAAUUCUUACGAUGCAUCACGUUAGAUUUUAGCACGGGAAUAUUCGUUUCUCGGGGCGAAGGAAACGAAAGUUUCGAGCUGUAAUCGACCGACUAGGUAGGCAAUCAGCGGUGAAAUCGGUGGAGCCGCAGGAAACGUAGGGAGCCGAGAUCUUAAUGAAAAUUUACAUUCACCGCGCCCGUCAGACCCGGUGCAUCGUGCAUCUUCUCGAGAAUAUCGGCUUAACUCGGUUAACCGUGUGGGAAGGAGGAGAUGAUUCGCAGGAGUAAGUGGACCAAGGGUCGAACACGGUGGCCCACUCUCUCUCCCUCUCUCUCUCUCUCUCUCUCUCUGGCCAGCAUCUGGCCGGUUAUGGGUAGUUUUAGCGAUUCUUACGUAACGCGGCUCAAGCAGGGAUCACGAUAACCGAUUUGCAUAAUCGAACCCGGUCCACCAACAGCAACGGCUGCUAAACGCAAUUGCGGCAUCUGCUCCGCCGUUAAAUAAGAAACUUUCUCGCGGCAUUAAUUCCGUUAUAUAGGAAUUCCAGUACGCCUGGAACGACGUACAGAAACGAUCUUUCUCGCCGAAGAUCGUCCAUUUUUAACUGUACGAGAUUUCAUUAGGGAUGGCUCGAAUCCAAGCGCGAGUUUCUCCGAGGAUGGGGAAGGGGAAGAGGUCGUUGACUCUCAUUGCUAUUAGUUAAUUAAACAGUUAGUCAAUUUGCAGGGAUGCCUCGAUCAAGGCGGUAUUAAUAAAUUUUCCGAGUGGAAACUGGAUCGGGCAACAUUUUCGACUUUGAUCUUCGAUACUUGCUCGACGACCGGGGUCCCCUUCUCUCCGCUUUAUAAUUAACUUUCUAUCCGGCAUCCCUUUUGAGGAUGCAGCUCUAGCUCCCCUCAGUGGAAUCGGCCACUAUCUAUCCAGGAUCUGGUGGAUCCUGCUGGAUUUCUAGUUUUUUUUUCUUUUCCCUUCUUCUUUUUUUCCAGAGAAUAGAAAGAAAGAAAGAAAGAAUCUUGGACGAGAGAGUAUCUGUCGAUAAUUGGCCAGGAGAGGGGGGAAAAGGUUCCCAAAGGUUUCCAAGUUUCAUUUUAUAAUUCUCUGGACGUACGAUCGAUACACACACGCGCGCAAACACGUAUACACGCGCGCGAUACGGUACGUUUAAUUAGUCGACAAAUUUUUCGAUCAAUCGCUCGUCGCCGGCAAAUAACGAAUGACCAAUUAAAUUACGCGACCUUUACCGGUUUAAUAGCCCUAAUUACUAACUUAACGGACUCAUUGUACCCGCCUUGUAUGAAAAUUACCGCUCGCUACGGCCCGAGAUAAAAGCUCGGGGGUUCUGAACCCCCGAUCAAUUUUUGCCCGCGCGCUGUUUAAUCGCGUUCAUUUGUAAAAAAAAGAAAAGAAAAAAUAAAAGCACGCGUACGAACAUUGGGACUGGUAUCGGGGAAAUAAUGAAAAUUUCGACAGAUCGUUUCGCCACUCUAUACCGGAUCCUUCGUGAUUGAUACGAAUCGAAUAAGCUAUUAAUGGGGAAAAAAGGGCAAACUUUCACGUAAUUGGGAUCAAAAUGAUUUCUCUCCCUUCUCUUUCUCUCGAAAAAAACGCAUUUCACAAUAAUUUUGUAUUACUCUUUCAAUUACGAUUAUAUUCUCGCGAGUUGGAAAAUCUGAUACCCUUUUUUUCCCUUCUUUCUUUCUUUCUUUCUUUCUUUUUUCAUAAAUCCGAUGAAAAGGCUUGAUGAUGCAUCCAUGUCUAUCGAUUGAACGGGCUCUUUUCGAUCCGAUAUAUAUUCAAGCCUGGAAGAAAAAUCAUAGGAAUUGAGAUCCGAGAAUACGAGAAAGUAAACCAUUCUCAGAACAAAAGGACUCGUCAUUUUGGUGGUACUAUCUACUUUACUCGAACUAACCCUCUCCAUUAUGCCCGAGCAAAUGGCGCGGAAACAUUGAAGAGCAUUGCAUAAGGACCCUUUUCUAAAAAUGUUUCCCGAAAAUGAAGGUAAUUCACCAUUCCCCUACAUCCCUUUCUUAACAAAAUAAUAUUUUCAUUUCCGCUACGUUUAACUACAGAAUCGCGGAUUCGAAGAAGUGGAUCAGUUCAAUGGGGGACCGAGUUCCUCUCGCUGGACUGAAAAUGUAUCCGUACAAUGUCCGUAAAAAAAAAGAAAAAAAUCGUGGAACGGACAAGACGGUUCGAGAGAGGCUUUCCUCCCUCUUCUCGCAAUUCAAACCUCGACUCGAUCUUUUUCAAAACUCCUCUUCCCUAUUCCCUCCCUUCCUCUGUCAAAAAGAAAAGGAAAAAAAAUUAGGACAAACGAGAGGGAUUGCGUCGGAUCGAGCCGAAAUUUCAAAAGAAGGGUAUCGGAAUUUCCGUGUCGCCGCAACAAUACCCGCAAUGUUUUUCCCCUGGAACGACAAUAAACGUUUUAUAUAAUAACGAAUGGAGGGUGGAGGGGAAGGGAUGGAUAGAGAACAAAAGAGGGUGGCAAAGAGGCGACGUAUUGAAUAGCGUUUUUUCCCAAGAAAAUGAGAUUCCGUUUCCCCUCCCAUCUGUGUACAAACGUAUCUACUCCCCAUCUCCCUGGCCGCAUCUAUGUUUUAUCCCGCGUGCGAAAGAACAAGUCUAGGAGAUAGAGUCGGCAAUAUGAAAGAAACGUGCACGAUUGCACGGAAUAUCGAUCAUGGGACGGAACGAUAGGAUUACAAUGGAGUAGUAAGAAAUGGUCCUUUCGUUUCUAGCGUUGUUUCACGUUCCUGAAAAAUAUAUAAUAUUAUUAUACGUAUAUCGAAACACCCAACGUAUCUCCGCGUUAAAUAUAAAGAUAUAAGAUCGGAAUCGAUACUUAGUUUCACGGAGAGUAUCGUUUAAAUCGAUCGUAUUAAUUCUUUUCUUUAAUUCAAUCGAUAUUUGUGUAACACGUUAAAUAUACAAGAAUAUUCUUUUCGAUACCUUGAUAGGGCAAUCUUGUUUACUGGAAUUUUUCUUCGAAUCCUUUCUUCGUAGCGAAUAAAUUUUCCUGCAGUCUAUAAUAUCAUUGCAUUGUAUUUUCGAAAAAGGAGUGACGGAUUGUUUCUCGCUCGGGAUCUCGUUUGGCUUCUCCUCUUUUUGAUAAAUUGAUUAGGGAAAAUUCGGAGAGAGAGACAGAGAGAGGGAGCGGCUUGUCAAACGUCACGAUUGUGCCGCGAACGUGUCUGAAGUAAUCAGGUCAACGCGGUUAAACUUUCGGUACAGGCUAAAACCAAUUAAGCAAAUCUAAUAAGAUCCGACUGAUAUAUCGGAUUAUGGUUAUCAAAAGGAAACCAAGACUAAUUACCUUGGACGUGGUGAUAUUUAAAGGUGAUGCUCUCGUUACAUUUUAUUUAAAUAUAAUUAUUAAUUGAAAGAACGUUGCGAAACUUACAAUUGUAAAACUAUUAUUUAUCGAAAAAUCAUUGAUUUAAGAGGUAUCGAGAGGCUUGUUAUCGUAUAAAGGAGAGCGUAUCUUUGCGAUAUCUCUUAAAUUAUUGAUUUUUCGAUGUAAAUCACUUUACACGCUAAAAAAAAACUAGAACUAUUACAUAUCUUUUUCAUUCGUAUCCGGAUAAAAUAUUUAUUUCAACGAUUGAUUAUCUUAAAUUAGUCCCACGAAGUCGAGAAAUGCACUGUUCUACAUCUAAUGGAAAUAUUUAAAAGAGGAAUCUCCCUUCGAGAAUUCCUGCCAGCAUUCCUCAACCUUUGUCCACACCUUGGAGAGGAUAUCUGGUCGCCUAGCUUGCGCGAGCUUUAUGUGACAAACGUUUCCGUGGAAACGUUGGGAUUCGAUUGGACGACCGGAAUAGAAUUUCCGGUUCCGAUUCCGAAAAUGACGCGUUACGCGCGCGCCUCCCUCCCCCAAGAGUGGGGAAACUGGCUGUCGGGAAAUCCGCCAAGGUUCGUUAGCCCGCCAAGACUUUUCAAAGAGUCCGCCGUUUCCAAACGCUCGCUCGUUUACGAACAACAACGCUUUAACGAUAUUCGUCGAUUAGGAAUCGAUUCGUAUCGAAGAUGGACGCUUGGAGAAAAAUUUCCAACUCGUUGGACGGAGGAGACACGAGAAAGAGAUGCUAACAUUGGCGAGGGAGAGGGAAAGCUUAGCAGUUUCGAGAUAAGCAUCGUGAAGUGAAACGGCGAGGCUAUCUUAGAGGCGUUAAUUGAAUUCUAGAAGCUGUUAGAGGCCCAUUCAAGCUUGUUGAUGGCCUCCCAUUGAAUCGUAACCUCUUUAAAAACCUGGUAACGGGGGCCUCCUCUCUUCCUCUACGGUGUAAGCAUCUCUUCGAGACGUCUUUCGCGGGGAGGGGGCAAAGAGGAGUAGAAUCAACGAGAUUGAAUUAACUAUGCGGGGGAGGAGGCGUGUUAUAUAUAAUUAAAUAGGGGGUGAGUAAGUAGCUCUCUCGACGUCGAGGGACGUUUUCGAACAACGAGAGAGGAGAAACUCCUCUCGUCGUUCAAACGGAACGUUUGACUCCAAGGUGUUAACACGUGUAGUAUGUCGCCGGAGACAUACCGAGCGAGGUCUGUGUACACCGUGCAGACCGCAAAGCGCACCGCGACGCGCUGCAAUAUCUCGGCCAAGACUUUAGGAACGCGAGGAAUACGAGCGGAAAGAAACGUGUGAUAAUAUUUCAACUUCGAGGGAAUUUCUCUUCCAUUUAUUCGAAAUUUGUCGAAAGUUACUAUACAUCUGAAGGGGUCAACGAUACGAGGGAUAAUAAAGGAGGGAUGGGGUGUCAAGGAAAUGGAACGUGAAUACGUGAUUGAAUUAUUAUCAACACGACGCGAUCGAGAGUACGGACGAAAGAGGGGAAAAAUCUUCCAUCUUCGCUCCCUCGUCCGCUGAUGAUUUCCGCUUCGACUUCGAUUCAGGAGGUAAUAUUUUCAGGAAAUGAAACGUCGAUUCCGUUCAAGACGUUUCCAGACGUUUCCUAAGUUUUCAUUAAUUAUUCCGAGCCGGUUAAUUACGGGGAUUCCAAGCCGGGUGUACAUCGGCGUGGGGCAUCUCCGGCGCGCGGUAACCGAACGGACGAGAUUCUACCCGAGAUUUCCCCCUCUGACUGAAUUCCCCCUUCCUCCCUCCCGAUGCGCUAACACUAUUAAACACUGAAAAUAAAUCGUGCCCGGAUCCAUAAAUUUCCCCGGUUCAUCGCCUUCUUUCUUUCUUUCUUUCUUUCUUUCUUUCUUUCUUUCUUUUUUCCUCGCGCUACUAUUAAAAAUUUCUUUCUUCCUCCUUUUUUCUCCUCUGUACAGAAGCGUUUCUGCACGCGCACGCGUUUCGCACGGCCAAACGUCUCGAAAUCUCUCCCCCUGUAAUGAAACGAACGAAGAGGGAAGGCAUCGCCUCCACGUGUUCUCCUUCUCGACGAUUCGCGGCCGCGACGUCGAAUGGCCGAACGAGAGGGGACGGGACGAGAGGACGUUAAACACGGGAUACGAGCACUCUGGAAAUCAUCGUGCAGCAAGAAAGUGGUUGGAAGGGGUCAAGGGGGUGCUCCAGCUUGCUCCAGUUAAGUCAAAAUGCUGACUGGUGACGGGUGACGAUCCGACAGAUGCCUUCUUCUCCGCGCAAUCGAAACCUCUUUUCCACCCCCCUCCUCGAUUUCUCUGAGAAAUCCUCUCGAUGACGAUGAUGAUCGAGGAGAAAAGUCCCGUGAAGUCUCGGUUAGAACAGGUUCGGAGGAUGGGGAAUGAUAAUGGAGGGAAAGCGCGAAGAGGAGGAGGAGGAGGAAAAGCACUCCUCUCGAGAGGAGGAGUGCAACUCGCCAAAACCACUUCUUCGAUGUUUCCUGUUCCCACGAACUUACACCUCUAAGCGUUCGAUGAUUCCUCGACCACCUCCGUGUUUGUCCGCUACUCCUCCGCACCCCGGAAAUUAGCGCGCACGAUCCCUUCUCUGUUGCAAAGUAUAAUUUCCUUGAUCACGCGAACGAUUUCAACGUUUUCAUCGUUUCCACCAAGCUUUUUUUCCUCUCUUUUUCCUUUUUCUUAAUCUCCUGCGGCCGUUUGGCGGGCUUGCAGCAGAAGUCAUAAUUGAUUUGACUAAUUUAUGAGAAGGGGAGAGAGAGAGAGAGAGAGAGGGUGGGCGAAAGAGGGAACCGGGUCAAAGCUCGUUAUUCUCCCCGCCAGAGAACAGAAUUUCUGGGGGAGCAGAAAUUUCUCGCGGCCACAAUGCUCCACGCUCCACGCAGAGCACUUCGACUCUCUUUCGAUUCGGGUCAACCAUUUGGUAUAAAUGAACGGUUGAAAUAUUCAGAGAUAAUCGCGACGCGUGCGCCACUCGUGUAUCAUUAUUAACACGCGAAAAUUUAUCUCUGAUACCAUUUAGUGGAUGCAUAAUCAUUCUUAUAUAUAUAUAUAUAUAUAUAUAUGUAUGUAUAUAUGUAUGCAGCCAGGUAGAUCGUUCGUCGUUUCGACGAAGACAAAUGUGCAUUUGUUUUAAACGGGCAAAAAUUUCAUUUCCAAGUGUCAUUAGACCUGGGGAUAUUGGCACUGGAGCCUCUGUGCAACUACUUCGCAACUUUCCUCCAGUCCAAGCUAUAAAUAAAGGGGUCACAUCGCUCGAGAAACCGAUCAAUCAACGCGACUGCAUAGCAACUUAUUGUCCUUAUUGAAAAAUUAUAUAUAGGAGAGAGAGAGAGAGAGAGAGGAAAAAAAAGAACGCAAUUUUUACCUGGAAACGAUGGAAGCAGAUGGAAGGAUUGAGGAGACUUAUUAUCAUCAUUUCUUCCAGAUAAAAAAAACGUGGUUUUUGGUGUUCGGGGAAGGGAAUGGGAAAACAUAUGGAUGGAAGUGACGUUUCUCCAUCGACUAACUCGGCCCGAUUUUAAAUUCUUUCUCGCGUAGGAGGAAUUAUUAUUCGCUUAUUGAGUCGAGUGGGCUCGGGCGGCCAAAAAACUCUUGUUCCAUUUUCCGCGGGACCGAUCAAUUCGAUUUAUAAACGAACGCGCUCCCUCGAAUGCGCGAAAUCGAUCAUUCGAUAAUUGGGGGGAGGAGGGGAGGAGGAGAGAAGAGAGAAGGGGAGGAGGGAGGUCGUAGAUCGGUAGCCUCGUGGAGAGGACGUUGGACAAUCGAGCAGACGGCCGAUUAUUUGAAACGAAUGACGGAGAACCCGAAGCGACAUCAAGCAUUCAUCGAUGCAUCGUUUAAUGGAACAUGGGGACGUGGAAUCGUGGAACGUGACCGGCCUUUGUUAAGUUAAAUUCGAUGGAAAAUAGCUCGAAAUUUAUCGUGGCCACGGCUGUGCUUUCGUUAACUCAUUCCCUUUAACUCGUUCAAAACCAAGCCCCCUCUCCCCGUAAUUUUCUCCUUCGUUUUAUUCGGUGGAAGGAAAUUGCAACCACUGUCGCGAAUUAGGAUAUUCUCGAAGG